rnacentral:rRNA from 1 species
AACGAACGCUGGCGGCAUGCCUAACACAUGCAAGUCGAACGAGACCUUCGGGUCUAGUGGCGCACGGGUGCGUAACGCGUGGGAACCUGCCCUUAGGUUCGGAAUAACUCCCCGAAAGGGGUGCUAAUACCGGAUAAUGUCUUCGGACCAAAGAUUUAUCGCCUUUGGAUGGGCCCGCGUUGGAUUAGCUAGUUGGUAGGGUAAAAGCCUACCAAGGCGACGAUCCAUAGCUGGUCUGAGAGGAUGAUCAGCCACACUGGGACUGAGACACGGCCCAGACUCCUACGGGAGGCAGCAGUGGGGAAUAUUGGACAAUGGGCGAAAGCCUGAUCCAGCAAUGCCGCGUGAGUGAUGAAGGCCUUAGGGUUGUAAAGCUCUUUUACCCGGGAUGAUAAUGACAGUACCGGGAGAAUGAGCGCCGGCUAACUCCGUG